rnacentral:rRNA from 1 species
AGUGAACGCUGGCGGUAGGCCUAACACAUGCAAGUCGAACGGCAGCACAGUAAGAGCUUGCUCUUACGGGUGGCGAGUGGCGGACGGGUGAGGAAUACAUCGGAAUCUACUUUUUCGUGGGGGAUAACGUAGGGAAACUUACGCUAAUACCGCAUACGACCUACGGGUGAAAGCAGGGGAUCUUCGGACCUUGCGCGAUUGAAUGAGCCGAUGUCGGAUUAGCUAGUUGGCGGGGUAAAGGCCCACCAAGGCGACGAUCCGUAGCUGGUCUGAGAGGAUGAUCAGCCACACUGGAACUGAGACACGGUCCAGACUCCUACGGGAGGCAGCAGAGGGGAAUAUUGGACAAUGGGCGCAAGCCUGAUCCAGCCAUACCGCGUGGGUGAAGAAGGCCUUCGGGUUGUAAAGCCCUUUUGUUGGGAAGGAAAAGCAGCAGGUUAAUACCCCGCUGUUCUGACGGUACCCAAAGAAUAAGCACCGGCUAACUUCGUG